rnacentral:lncRNA from 1 species
CGCAGUUCCCGUUUGAUACCGGAUAAAGCAAAUCUUGGUUUUCGUUUCCUUGUGAUGGACCUGGAAGAGGGGGUACAAUGAGCUUAUCCAUGCGGUUAUGCACUCUUGUAAUAGGAAUCCGUUUUCUGAAAGAUCCUGGAUUUCGUACUUUGGUGGGUCUCCGAGAUCCUUUCGAUGACCUAUGUUGAAGGGAUAUCUAUCUAAUCCGAUCGAUUGCGUAAAGCCCGCGGUAGCAACGAUCCUGGAUUUCGUACUUUGGUGGGUCUCCGAGAUCCUUUCGAUGACCUAUGUUGAAGGGAUAUCUAUCUAAUCCGA